rnacentral:lncRNA from 1 species
UUCGACCAAAAAAAAGAAAAAGAAAAAAAGAGUGUCACCACCAAGGACCCCCCAACGACUAGAGAAAGCAAGUCAAGAGUCUUCCACCGAUCUUGCCGGCUUAGUUGCAUUAGGAGACAAGAGACCAGCAUUUAUGAUGAUGUAAUGGAUAAAACUAGUCACGACAUGACGAAAAUAUGCAACUUUAUUUAUUUUUGUUUGUGACACAUGGUAUGAUUUUCAUAAUUUUUCUUAGGUGUGCUAAGAAAUCUAAAUGUCUGACAACACAAUGUAAAUUCUUGUCCAUAAGUCUCAUUUAAAAGUUGGGUAAAAAAAUAGAACAUAUUUGACGAGUCAUCCCAUAAGAUUUAUAGAAGUUUCCAUUAGUCAAUCAAUGGGAUGUAAUCCUAUGAAUUUCCAUGUCCCUUACACGUUUGAUAACAAAUUCAAGAUCAGAAAUUUACAGUCUUGAAAAUAGAGGAUAUAAAGUGAAAUUGAGAUACAAAAUGAAGAUUAAUUUUUAACUUUUUCUUUAUUUUAAUUAUAUUAAAAAAAAUUUAAAAUCCAAUCAAACUUUGUAUCUACAUCAAAUACUACUUUGAAUUCUCCAGAUUUGCGGCGUUGUUCAUCUAGAGACAAAAACCCUUAAGUAGAUGCUAAAUUACCCUUUUAUUACUAAAAUGUAUUUUAUGCGGCGAUCACAAAAUUGGCAUGGUGUAAUCAGUCAAUUUGAAUUGUCCGUGUAAUAUACAUGUCGUUUUGACGGAAAAAAAUUGAAGUACCUCUUCCCAAUUAAUUGGUACACCUGUUAGCAUCUAGGCAUGCGUCGAUCCGGGCCUUCAUCUUCCCCCAUGGCCCACUCUAAUUGCUCCCGCUCCUGACGGAAUCAUCCUCAGCUGUCCGAUCCGAAUACCUGCUUCCAAGUCAAACCUCGUCGCACCAUCAGCGGGGCCCAGAAAAGGAAAACGAGAAGAAAAGGCAUAAUGAAACGAGCGUGUCACUUCGACCAAAAAAAAUAUAAAAAAAAGUGUGUCACCAUCAAGGGCCCCUCAACGACCAGAGAAAAAACAAGUCAAGAGUCUUCCACCGAUCUGGCCGGCUUAGUCGCGCUUUCGGAGAGACCAGCCUUUAUGAUGACGUAAUGGAAAAAACUAGUCAUGACAUGAUGAUAAUAUGAAACUUUAUUUUAUUUUGUUUUUUUGUGACACACGGUAUGAUUUUCAUAAUUUUUCUUAGGUAUCCUAAGAAAUCUAAAUGUUCAACAACACAAUGUAAAUUCAAUUUAUAUAAAACUCUUCAAUUUGCAUUAGGAGACGAGAAAUAAGUGUCACCAUCAUUGAGGACCCCUCAACAACCAGAGAAAGCAAGUCAAGAGUCUUCCGUCAAUCUUGUCGGGCUAAUUUGCAUUAGGAGAUGAGAGACCAGCAUUUAUGAAAAUGAAUGGAUAAAACUGGUCAUAACAUAAUGAUAAUAUGGAACUUUUUUUUUUUUGUGACACACGGUAUGAGGUUUUCAUAAUUUUUCUUAGGUGUCCUAAGAAGUCUAGAUGCCUGACAACACAAUGUAAACUCAAUUUAUGCCAAACUCUUCAAUUUGUCUAUUGGCUCUAAAUAACUCUGAGCUGCAAUGGCUAAGAUGCGAAUUCUAUUUAAAACACCGUUACUAUUAAGAAAGACACAGGGAUAGCUUUUAAGAAAGACACUUAUCUGUCAUUGGAAUUAAUGUAAUUGCUAAAUAAAAAAUAUUGUAUAAGUAUCAAAAACUUAACCUUACUUGGAAUUAAAUUUAUUUACUUAAAUUAAAAUUAUUAUAUGUAUUACAAUCUUAACCUUACUAUAUGAAGGAUUACGUGGCCGGUGUUACCAACAAAAACAGUUAAAAUAAUAUAAGAGAUUGAAAAUAGUUAUUCACAUUAUUACUUAGUUACAAACUAAUGUGACAAUUUUGACAAUUUUUUCAAUGCCUAACUAUGCUUGACCUUUUCCAAAUGAUCGUAUAUAGAUCUACAUCCCAAACAAAUAUAGUAAGUAUGUGAUACCACACAUUAACAUAAAGAUGGCUCUAUAAAAGAUGCUAACAAUAUUCCGAAUAUUGUGAGAUUCGAUAAAUGACGGGUCAUAUUAGUGAUGAUUACACAAAAUGAAGUCAAAUAGUCUGGCAUCCCACUCAAAAUAAGAUGAUUGAGGUGAAAACAACUUGAUUUUGGAAAUUGAACUGUGAAACAACCUAGACAAUUAGAUUUAGCAAUUGAGUGAAUGUAGACUAUCGUGAACACCAAUACGUUAUUUAUUUAUAAAAUGGAUUUAAUUGCAAAAUUCUCAAUACAAACUUUUUAUGAAUUAUAAUUAACCGUAAGCAACUUUAUAUAUUUUAUUCUAAAUUUUAAAAUUACAAUUUGCUUAUCUUAAAUUUUAAAUUAAAAUUUUAAAAGAAGGUAAUGAGAAGAGGCAAUGAAUUAUCAAAUUUAAAUUAAUCCUGAUUGGUUAAUUUGUCUAGAAAGCACACAAGUCCCAAAUCAUCUUUGUUAGCUAAUCUACUUCACAGUGUGUAACACGGUUUCUACUCUCUUUGCUCGCUUCGUUGCAUUUUUCUCUUCUUUUCUUCUGACUUAAGAAGUCAAAAGUCUUCCACCAUCUCACUUGCUUAGUUGCAAAGAAAUUGAUAAGGCAAAAGCUGACAAAACCCACUCAAAAGAAAAGACUGGUGAAGGAAGCAAGUUAAAGUCUUCCUCCAUCUUGCAUUGUGAGAUGAGGGACCCUUAUCAAAGGGUCUUCGUCAGACUUGGUUUACAAAAUUGUUCAAUAAAUUCUUGUCCAUUACUCACGUUUAAAGGACAUGCCAAAAUGUUGAACGCGGUUUACAAGUCAUCCCGAAAUUUUCCUAGAAGUUUCAUUUAUCAAUCAAUGGGUUAUCGUACUAGGAGCUUCCAUGUCACAUUUAUUUAAUUACAAAUUUUAAAUCAAAGAUUCAUAGCUCUAAAAAUAGAGAAUAUAAAGUGAAAUCGAAAUACAAAGUGAAGAUGAUUUUUGAGGUUUUUAAAAAUUCUGAUCAACUUUGUAUCUAUAUCAUGUACAACUCUUGAGUUCUUGACAUUUGUAGCAAUGUUAAUUUUCAGACAAAAAUCUUUAAUUAGAAGAUUAAACUAUCCCUCUACUAAGGAAUUUGAUAUUAUGUGUCAAUCACCAUGAUUGACAUGGUGUAAUCGAUCAAUCCAUGUUGCCCAUGCAAUAUGCAAGUCAUUCGAAUGGGCGUUAAAAUGUUUUUUUUUUCUUUUUUUUUUUGGGUCUAAGGCACUAAAACGUUAAGAUAUUCACUUUGCAUUGGUUUAUCACACCACAUGAUAUAACUGUCACAUGAAAUACCUUUUGUUUUGCCAUAUAAUUUCUCUCCCUUUCUCUCUCCCCCAACCAUACUGCCAGUCAAUGUCACCAUCCUUGUUCCCAGUAGACGCUGUCAUUGCUCAAUCAAAAUCGACAACGCCCUCCACACUUAGCCCCACCUUUGUCUGCAUCUCUCUCUUCUUUGCCAUGGCCUAACUCAAAAUUAGAGGCAUCUUGCUCAAAGCUACAAUGAUGCGUAUCAUCAUUUUUUUUUCUUUUCCAUUGUGGACGAAGAGGAUCGUCAACCACUGCGCAAGGGCUUGCAACCCCUUGUGGCAGGUAGUGAGGGUCGCAACCCUCGCCGAAGCCCAUACUAGUCAUAGGCGAAGGAGGGUGUGAAGGCCCUCCUCAACCAUGAAAGCUUUGCCUAUGGCUACGAUCAAGGCAAGGGCUUGUCGGCCCUAUUAUAGGGUCGUUGGUCAUGAUUGAAAAAGAAAGAAAAAAAGAAGAAGAAAAGAAUAAGAAAAAGAAAAUUACAAAAAAAUAAAUUAUUUUAACGAAAAAUUGUGAAAAAGAAGUCCAUGUAAGCGCCUACCAUGUCACAUAAGAAGUCUGGGGUCCACACCAAAGAUUCCCAACCAAGAAAAGCCAGGAGCACUAAAUUGAUAAAUUAUCAAAGACUUUGUUAUAAAAUUAGUUAAAUUGAAAUGUUUAAGGUAUGAAUUGACAUCUAUACAAUAAAUUUAAGAUUUUUUUUGGUAAUUUUCCUCACAUAAUAUGUAAUACCAUGAAAUUAACAUUCGUCUUCAAGUCUCCUUUGUCCCGCUGAGACCUUUUCUCUCCCAACCCCUCUCCUAUUUUGAAACUUUCUUCAUCUCUUCCACUUCUAGAGGGGAGGGAUUUGACCUAAAUCUCUCCCUCCCUUCAUAGUUGUUUUUCCUUCUUCUUUUUUUCCUUUUGAUUCUUUUCUUACUCUCUCGAUCUAGUUUUAGAUUUAGGAGAUUUGCUCUACUAAUCUUAAAUUUGAAAGCUUUCUCUUCAAUCUAAUUCUAGAUUUUGGAGUUUUAAUGAACAAAAGAGGAAUGGAUUCAGCGGAUUGUACCUGCUCAUUUUUUUAGUCUGAAGAGGCCAAG